AGCUCACACUGAAGAAGCAUCCUUGCUUGGGUUUGCAGUCUUCUGCGGCAGGCAUUCUCGGAGGAAACCAGCCAAGGUAAGCCUGCAGUGGCCCAUGAGGCUGCAGUUCUCCUGGCUGAAUUCUGAGGGUGAGUCCAGAGAACAUUCUUUCAACAGUCGUAUUUGUUAGUCAGACUCGUGCUGUUCUGGUCUUUUUGAAUAAGCUGGUCAGGUACAUUGCAGGUUUCCCGGUAUUUUCAAAGCCAGUUGGAUGUAGAAGUUAAAAUAAAUCUAGUUGGUCCUCUAAAGGAGAGAGAGAGAUCUGCUAGUAAUCUCUCUCUCUCUUUCUCUCUUUCUCUCCCUCUCUCUCUUCCUCUCUCUCCCUCUCUCCCUCCUCUCUCUCUCCCUCCUCUCUCUUCCUCUCUCUCUCCCUCCUCUCUCUCUCUCUCCCUCUCUCCCUCUCUCCCUCUCUCUCCUGUCACACACACAUUGUAAAGUUCUAUGUAUCUUUGGAACAAAUGUCUGCAUCAUUUUAAAGUGGCUGGAUGACUGUGGAGACCAGUAAAGGAGGAUCCUCUAUAUUAAUAUAAACCAGAUACAGUUAUUUUUAGAAAACUGUCUCACUUCAAAAGAGAACCUUCCUUAAUUUCUCGCUUCUGCACUUGGCUUUUACAGUUUUCACUAAGGUCCCUGUGUGAUAACACAGACUCAUCAACAUGCACAGAAAAGCUGUUGCCUGCUCUCAGUGUUUUAUUUUUAUUAUUAUUAUUAUUGUUGUUGUUAUUAUUAUUAUUAUUAGUCCAAAUAGAACAUCUUACUCAAAUUCAAAGAUAUCUUUGUUUCUUUCAGCUUUGUAUAAUGUAAGUUAAAAUCACAUUUGAAAUGCAAAUGGAAAAAGCAAUUUUCUUUUAUCAUUCUAUUUUCUCUUUUUCUUCCUUGCAGAAAGUACUCUCAUGGUAGUUCGUUGCUUUAAUUACUCGAUUACUGUGAAACAAAUCUUGGUGUGGAGCUCUAGAGACAUCAGAUAGUGGGGGCAUAAGCUCUGAGACUCCAGACGUAAAGUUUGGAUGAAUAGAGUUGUGAAAUUGCCCUUUUCCUUGCUAAGGAUGAGAGGUGGAGAGGUAGAAAAGGCACACAAAUAUUGACUCACUGAAAUUUUCUCUGAGAUGUAGAAAGAUUCCAUAAAUUAUUGGUGACUUGGUGGUGAUCUAGUGGUGCCAAGAGUGUGUUUGAACCUGACAAGACAUCAACUGUGCCUCAUAAAAUAUGUUGC
rnacentral:lncRNA from 1 species